GAUGAACGCUGGCGGCGUGCUUAACACAUGCAAGUCGAACGAAGCACUUUAUUUGAUUUCCUUCGGGACUGAUUAUUUUGUGACUGAGUGACGGACGGGUGAGUAACGCGUGGGUAACCUGCCUUGUACAGGGGGAUAACAGAUGGAAACGGCUGCUAAUACCGCAUAAGCGCACGGAGUCGCAUGAUGCAGUGUGAAAAACUCCGGUGGUAUAAGAUGGACCCGCGUUGGAUUAGCUAGUUGGUGAGGUAACGGCCCACCAAGGCGACGAUGCAUAGCCGAGCUGAGAGGGUGAGCGGCCACAUUUAGACUAGGACGCAGCACAGACUCCUACGGAAGGCGGCAAAGGGUAAUAGAGCAAAGUGGGGUGAGGGAUGAAGGUGUGACGCCGCGUAAACGAUGAAGUUUGUCAGUAUGUAAUGCGCUAUCAGCAGGGAAGAUAAUGACGGUACCUGACGAGAAAGCACCGGCUAAAUACGUG
rnacentral:rRNA from 1 species